rnacentral:rRNA from 1 species
GACGAACGCUGGCGGCGUGCUUAACACAUGCAAGUCGAACGGAAAGGCCCUGCUUUUGUGGGGUGCUGGAGGGGCGAACGGGUGGGUAACACGUGAGUAACCUGCCCUUGCCUUUGGGAUAACUUCAGGAAACUGGGGCUAAUACCGGAUAGGAGCUCCGGCGGCAGGGGGGGGGUGGGAAAGUUUCGGCGGUUGGGGAUGGACUCGCGGCUUAUCAGCUUGUUGGUGGGGUAGUGGCUUACCAAGGCUUUGACGGGUAGCCGGCCUGAGAGGGUGACCGGCCACAUUGGGACUGAGAUACGGCCCAGACUCCUACGGGAGGCAGCAGUGGGGAAUAUUGCACAAUGGGCGGAAGCCUGAUGCAGCAACGCCGCGUGCGGGAUGACGGCCUUCGGGUUGUAAACCGCUUUCGCCUGUGACGAAGCGUGAGUGACGGUAAUGGGUAAAGAAGCACCGGCUAACUACGUG